CCGGCUCUCAUAGACAGCAGCUGGACAGCAGACCCUCAGGUCAACUCUGACUGGUUAGUUUACUCCGGUUGGUGAAAUCUUGCAGAUGCCUUUUGGAGCACCAGAGGACACAGAGGCACAUGAUUUGUUUGCAGUUUACCUUCUCAUGCACUACUGUCAGGAUAUAGUGACCGUUUUUUUAAAAAAAUGACUUUUUUUGAUCAUAUUUGCUUCAUUUCUACCUACUGCUGCUUCAAGUUAAAUUUUGAGUGGAAAACUUUUACUAGUAAUGGAGAAUUUUUACAACCUAUUUUAUUUUAUAUUUGACUUAAUUAAAGGAUCUGAGUACUUCUUCCACCACUGCCUCUCGCCCUCAAAGUUUGAACCUCACAGUAAGUUAGUCCAUAUUUGACUCAAGAACAGAGGGAAACAAAUACUGCUGCGUUUUACAGACUUUGCUGUCCCAACCACCCCAGUGCAGGACACACUGACGUUUCCACUCAGCCUGAAGGAGGAGCAGCAGUACCGUAUCACCACUGGGUCAAACUGUGCCGACCUUUAGAGAGCAACAGCCUUUUUGGGAGAGACAUCACUUUUUUAAAAGUGGACCUAAACCCAGCCUGGAAAUGACAAGAAGAAAGCGGAGUAGAGGAGCGAAAGACAGCAUCUUGAAAUCAAAAAGCAAAGACACAGACUGAGCCUGAAAGCUAUUUAUGACAGAGAUUGAUGGAGGGGAGGGACGAGCCGAGAGCUGCCUCUGUUCAGUGAGAAAAGAAGACAACAGCUCGAAGGAAGAGGAUGGCUUCACAACCCCUGCGUAUUCUUGGAGAGGAGGUCGAUGUUGUGGAUGACUACAAGUACCAAGUACCAGACUGAAUUGGAAGACCAAUACUGAGGCUGUAUAUAAGAAAAGGAUGAGCAGAUUCUAUUCCCUGAGCUCCUUCAACGUGUUCUACCAGUCGGUUGUGGCCAGUGCACUGUACUUCAUCGUCGUCUGCUGAGGAGCAGCACUGGAGCCGGUGACACCAACAAACUUAAUAAACUGAUUAAGAAGGCUGGCUCCGUAAUUGGCUGCAAACCGGACACCUUCGAUGUUGUGGUGGAGAGGAGGACACCGAACAAACGGUUAUCCAUUAUGGUUAAUCCUGACCACCCUGUCCACCACCUACUGGACGAUCAGCGUAGCUCUUUCUCUAACAGACCGAUUCAGCUUCGCUGUCACAAGGACCGAUACAGGAAAUCUUUCUUACCCAAACAGACAGAGGUGAGGUGUUGAAGAGAGUUCUUCAACACCUCACCUCUGUCUAACAGAGAACUCUCAACUCUAUAGUUUCUUUUUCAACAAGACUCCAUUCUGUAAUGUCUUGCACAUUUACUACCUCAAAUUGUUUUUUUAUUAAAGAACAAACACUGUAACUUGCACACUUUGCUAAUAUAUAUAGUGUCUUGCACACUUUGCUAAUGUAUAUAGUAUGUUAUUGAUCACUUGCUCAUGUAUAUAAUGGGCUAUUCCAUGUUUAUAAUUUAAAAUUUGUAAUAGUCAGGUAUAUUUAUAGUGUAUUCCAAUAUUCUUUAUAUUUUAUGUUCUAUGGAUGUAUUUCUUUAGUGUUCACAUAUACAUUUUAUUUACUGUUCCUGUGCAUUGCUUGGAUAACCUGCUGCUGUUACACAAUAAUUUCCCAAUUUGGGAUCAAUAAAGUGCAUCUAUCUAUCUAUUUAGAAUGAAUUUAA